GGGCCCGCACAAGCGGAGGAACAUGUGGUUUAAUUCGAUGAUACGCGAGGAACCUUACCUGGGCUUAAAUGGGGAACGACAGCUGCCGAAAGGUGGCCUUCUUCGGACGUUCUUCAAGGUGCUGCAUGGUUGUCGUCAGCUCGUGCCGUGAGGUGUCGGGUUAAGUCCCAUAACGAGCGCAACCCUUAUCGUUAGUUGCCAGCGGGUCAAGCCGGGGACUCUAGCGAGACUGCCACCGUAAGGUGUGAGGAAGGUGGGGAUGACGUCAAAUCAGCACGGCCCUUAUGUCCAGGGCUACACACGUGUUACAAUGGCCGGUACAAAGGGCAGCUACCCCGUGAGGGGAUGCUAAUCUCUAAAGCCGGUCUCAGUUCGGAUCGAAGUCUGCAACCCGACUUCGUGAAGCUGGAUUCGCUAGUAAUCGCGCAUCAGCCAUGGCGCGGUGAAUACGUUCCCGGGCCUU
rnacentral:rRNA from 1 species